rnacentral:rRNA from 1 species
GACGAGGGGUCCAAGCGUUGUUCGGAAUCAUUGGGCGUAAAGCGGGUGUAGGCGGCUCUGUAAGUCAGGAGUGAAAGCCCCGAGCUUAACUUGGGAAGUGCUUUUGAUACUGCAGAGCUUGAAUGUGGGAGAGGUUAGUGGAAUUCCUGGUGUAGUGGUGAAAUGCGUAGAUAUCGAGAGGAACACCUGCGGCGAAGGCGGGUUGCUGGGCUGACACUGACGCUGAACUGCGAAAGCUAGGGGAGCGAACGGG